rnacentral:piRNA from 1 species
UCUCAUAUGUGUAGAAAUGCAGCCAGAAU